rnacentral:rRNA from 1 species
AGUGAACGCUGGCGGCAUGGUUAAGACAUGCAAGUCGAACGAUAAGCAAGACUUCGGUCUUGUGGACAGUGGCGAACGGGUGCGUAACACGUGAGCAACCUGCCCUUGAGUAUGGAAUAGCUCGCCGAAAGGCGAAUUAAUACUGUAUGUGACCUUCCAUCGCAUGGUGGAGUGGUUAAAGCUUGUAAUGGCGCUCAAGGAUGGGCUCGCGGCCUAUCAGCUUGUUGGUGAGGUAAAGGCUCACCAAGGCUAAGACGGGUAGCUGGUCUGAGAGGAUGAUCAGCCACACCGGGACUGAGACACGGCCCGGACACCUACGGGUGGCAGCAGUUUCGAAUCAUUCACAAUGGGCGAAAGCCUGAUGAUGCAAUGCCGCGUGGAGGAUGAAGGCCCUAGGGUCGUAAACUCCUGUCAUUAGGGAACAACAAAUAGGUUAAUAGCCUAUUCUGAGUUAACCUAAAGAGGAAGAGGUGGCUAACUCCGUGCCAGCAGCCGCGGUAAUACGGAGACCUCGAGCGUUACUCGGAUUUACUGGGCGUAAAGGGUGAGCAGGCGGCCAAGUGUGUCAGGUGUGAAAUCCCGGGGCUUAACCCCGGAACUGCGCCUGAAACUACUUGGCUAGAGUCUCGGAGAGGACAGUGGAAUUCUAGGUGUAGCGGUGAAAUGCGUAGAUAUCUAGAGGAACACCAGUGGCGAAGGCGACUGUCUGGACGAGUACUGACGCUCAAUCACGAAAGCGUGGGUAGCGAAAGGGAUUAGAUACCCCUGUAGUCCACGCCGUAAACGUUGUGCACUAAGUUUCGGAGGAUUCGACCCCUUCGGAGCUCAAGCUAACGCGUUAAGUGCACCGCCUGAGGACUACGGCCGCAAGGCUAAAACUCAAAGGAAUUGACGGGGGCCCGCACAAGCGGUGGAGCAUGUGGCUUAAUUCGAGGCAACGCGAAGAACCUUACCUGGUCUUGACAUGCCCGUCAUAGUUUUCCGAAAGGAAUUCGUCAGUUCGGCUGGACGGUGCACAGGUGCCGCAUGGCUGUCGUCAGCUCGUGUCGUGAGAUGUUCGGUUAAGUCCGGCAACGAGCGCAACCCUCGUUUCCAGUUGCCAGCGGGUAAUGCCGGGGACUCUGGAAAGACAAACCUCUUGUUGAGGUGGGAAGGUGGGGACGACGUCAAGUCGGUAUGGCCCUUACGACCAGGGCUGCACACGUGCUACAAUGCCCGGUACAAUGGGAUGCAAUAUCGCGAGAUUGAGCAAAUCCACAAAACCGGGCCCAGUUCGGAUUGGAGUCUGCAACUCGACUCCAUGAAGUUGGAAUCGCUAGUAAUGGCGUAUCAGCAAUGACGCCGUGAAUACGUUCCCGGGCCU